UGCUUUGUGGCUUAGUUGGUUGAAGCGCCGGUCUAGCGAAUACGGAGUCAUGGGUUUGAAUCUCAUCAGAACAC
rnacentral:tRNA from 1 species